UCCCGUGUUGCUCAGUUGGUAGAGCAUGGUGUUUGCAACGCCAGGGUUGUGGGUUCGAUUUCCACAGGGGAC
rnacentral:tRNA from 1 species